rnacentral:rRNA from 1 species
UGGGGAAUAUUGCACAAUGGGCGGAAGCCUGAUGCAGCGACGCCGCGUGAGGGAUGACGGCCUUCGGGUUGUAAACCUCUUUCAGCAGGGACGAAGCGUGAGUGACGGUACCUGCAGAAGAAGCGCCGGCCAACUACGUGCCAGCAGCCGCGGUAAGACGUAGGGCGCGAGCGUUGUCCGGAUUUAUUGGGCGUAAAGAGCUCGUAGGCGGCUUGUCGCGUCGACUGUGAAAACCCGCGGCUCAACUGCGGGCCUGCAGUCGAUACGGGCAGGCUAGAGUUCGGUAGGGGAGACUGGAAUUCCUGGUGUAGCGGUGAAAUGCGCAGAUAUCAGGAGGAACACCGGUGGCGAAGGCGGGUCUCUGGGCCGAUACUGACGCUGAGGAGCGAAAGCGUGGGGAGCGAACA